rnacentral:lncRNA from 1 species
GUAUGAGGCAACCAGAAAUUGUCUCUGGGAAGAGUCAAGAUUCAGAAGCUGGCAUCGGCCUUUGCUUAUGAAGGAAGAGGGGAAACUGACUUACUAGAGAACACUAGAGUCCCUGGUGAGCCAAGCAACAACGUCCUGAUUGGCUCUUUCAGCCAAUGGGACCUUAAUAGGGAAAUUGGUGAAAUGCAAUGAGUUUCUCCUAUUGUACCAAUGUUCAUUUAUUUGGGUUAAAGGCAAUGCGUUACAUCAGGAGAAUCUAAGGGAAUGGGAUAGAGAAUCUCCUUUAUUAUUGGGAUAUUUUCUGUAGGCAUAAUUUUUUUGCAACCUACUUUUAAUAAGGGUUCGAUCUCUCUUCUAGCGACCACCCAGCAGAGGGAGUGGAAGAGAAAAGUUACUAGGAUAAGUGGGAAUGCUCAGCAAUAGUUCUUUGGGGCAAGCUUGAACUUCUUGGGCAGCAGUUCAGUCCCAUAGCAAACACCAAAUAAGACUCAGCAGCUGUGGACCAGUCCUCUAGGCAGGCAGACACCAGGCACGAACCAGCAGCUACAGUCCAGUUCUCUCAGCAAGCAGACACCAGACAGCUGUAGUUCAAUCCUGAAGAAACCACCAGGCUCUCCAACCUGCCUGAGGCGAGGCCGCUGAAGUGGCAAGCUGCCCAGGAACCUCAUGAGCAGUGAGUGGGGUAAACAUCUUCUCUAGUUUCCUGUCACCAGAUACUUAGGUGGCACAAAUGUCUGCAAGGCCAUUUUGUGUCCUUGAGCCCCUCUGGCUCAACACUGCCUGAAGCCCAUCUUCCAGGCCCUGAAUAAUUAAAGGCCAUAAGCUCAGAGUUGGUUUUGAUCAGUUUCUAC